rnacentral:rRNA from 1 species
GUGGGGAAUCUUGCGCAAUGGGCGAAAGCCUGACGCAGCCAUGCCGCGUGAAUGAUGAAGGUCUUAGGAUUGUAAAAUUCUUUCACCGGGGACGAUAAUGACGGUACCCGGAGAAGAAGCUCCGGCUAACUUCGUGCCAGCAGCCGCGGUAAUACGAAGGGGGCUAGCGUUGCUCGGAAUUACUGGGCGUAAAGGGCGCGUAGGCGGACAGCUUAGUCAGAGGUGAAAGCCCAGGGCUCAACCUUGGAAUUGCCUUUGAUACUGGCUGUCUUGAGUUUGGGAGAGGUGAGUGGAACUCCGAGUGCAGAGGUGAAAUUCGUAGAUAUUCGGAAGAACACCAGUGGCGAAGGCGACUCACUGGCCCAAUACUGACGCUGAGGCGCGAAAGCGUGGGGAGCAAACAGGAUUAGAAACCCUUGUAGUCC